CCUGGAGAGCCUGGUUCUGUGUUCAUUCCAUGGAUGCUGCAGUGCUGGGUGCAGUUUGGUGAUACCGAGUCUUCAAAAGGACUGUCCUCAGAAAAAAAACAACUGCCUAACAGUGGAAAUAAUGUUGAAGAACUGCCCCUAGCCCAAUUACGGUUUCAGUAAGUGGUACUUCACAGUUGGGUGCUGGACACUAAGUAGGAUUAAAUUACUACUGGGCAGUCAGAACAGAUGCAUAAGUGAUUUUUUUUAUGGGGCUAUGAC
ensembl:lncRNA